rnacentral:rRNA from 1 species
AGGAAAUAGAUACCCUGGUAGUCCACGCCCUAAACGAUGCGAACUGGACGUUGGUUGCAACUUGGCAAAUCAGUGUCGAAAGCUAACGCGUUAAGUUCGCCGCCUGGGGAGUACGGUCGCAAGACUGAAACUCAAAGGAAUUGACGGGGGCCCGCACAAGCGGUGGAGUAUGUGGUUUAAAUUCGAUGCAACGCGCAGAACCUUACCUGGCCUUGACAUGUCGCGAACUUUCCAGAGAUGGAUUGGUGCCUUCGGGAACGCGAACACAGGUGCUGCAUGGCUGUCGUCAGCUCGUGUCGUGAGAUGUUGGGUUAAGUCCCGCAACGAGCGCAACCCUUGUCCUUAGUUGCCAGCACG